UAUAAUUCUUAAUUUAGUUAGUUAUAAAUGCCCAACUUGAAUCCCAAAUAAUGGCUUUAACAGAUGUGAAAUUUAUAACCUGUUUGGGGCAGCUGCUCCCCAGGCCAAUUUUAGGGGAAUAUUCCCCUAGAAUUGGCCUGUGGAGCAGCUGCGCGGUGGCAGCGCAGCUGCCCCAAACGGGUCUUUAGUAUCCCAACAUAUAUCUAACUUUUGAUUCGCUUUGAUUUUUUUUGGGAAAGGCAUUGACUGUGAACACAGCGCAUGCAUGAUUGUCUUCCAAUUCUCCUCGCAGUUGCUUCGGUGGAUUGGAUAGAUUUUUAGACAAUUAAUGGCCAACGGCAAUAGUAUCCUUUCACCAGCAAUUUUGACUUUUGUUUUGAGUUAUCCCUUUUUUGUUUCAUUUUUUAAAUCUUAAUAAAUAUUUUUAUGGUUGAUAAAUAUUUAAUUGUGAACACAAAUGUCGUUUUCAGGUUUAAAAGUUUUCGGAUGGCAAAAAGGCCAAAUUUUAAAUUAUAUCAAGGCAAAGCCUGUUAUAAUUAGCACAAGAACUGAUUGGUUGGAAAUUUUAGUAAAUCAUAAAUUUGAAAUUUGUUUAUGAAAAAUAAUUUAAAUGUUAAACGAAUAAGUAAUGAUUUGAUAAUGCAAUGCAACUCCAAGCAUGAACAAUUUUCGUCGAAAUUUUACUUACAAAUAUUAAUGUAUCCAUUUUUACUUGAACAAAAUAAAUUAAAGAAUAAAGAGAGGAUGAGUUUGAGAUGGGAUACUUAACUCUUAAGCUCCUGCUUGUCUAACACUAAGUCGACAUUCAAAUAAAGCAAAUGCUUUUUGAAAUGAAUUAGCUAAACCUCUCUUUUUCUUUCUUUUUUUCUUUUUCUUUUUUUAAAUUUUAAAGUCCAGCUUUAAUUUAACUGUAAACGCUGUUUGGAAACGUGAUAGCAUUUUUGUAUUUUCAAUUUCAUGUCCUAUAGAGAAAAAUAAACAGAAAAUCUAUCUAUUAACAUAGAUUAUUGAAAAUAGUAAUAAUCAAAGUCAACUUUAUUUUGUGGACGUGAUCAUUUAAUACAAAUGUAUUAAGUUCCGUCAGAAUUUCACAAUUUCGCGUAUUAAAAACUUGAUGGAUUAAUUUUUAAACAGUAUUUGAGUUACCAUCUAAAUUUAAACUCUAAUGAAUAUAAAAGACCUAAACUCCGAAAGAUGAGAAUGUCAAUUUAAACUUUAAUCAUACACUCAUAGCUUUUGAAAAAAAAAAUAAAUAAAUAACUAAAAGUCACAUUCAUCUCACCAAAAGCAUGGCCCUCGUAUUAAUAGUUGCAUGUUGAUUGUUGAACCUCAGCAAACGAUUUGGAUAGCCAUUCAAUACAUAAUUAUCUUCUCAUCCUCUAUAUAUAAAUGUAGUACUUUUUAAAAGGGCCGGAGAGAUAAAAUUCCUCAUAAAUAGUAUAAUUCACUAUUUUAAUUGACGAGUUUUGGUGAAUUGAUUUUAGGGAGCAAAUAGUACAAAAUGGAUAAUUUGUUCUUUCAAUAACGCUCGCAAUUGGUCAAAGAACCUGUGUGAUAAAUUUACAAAUCUUAAGGGAUUAUUUUAUAUUUUUGCAAACGUCUGGCUCAUAUGCAUUUUGGUUAAAAAAACAGGGACCUCAACGUAAAUUAGUCUUUUGGUGUUUAUCCACUUCCGCUCGUGUACCGUGUCCCUUUUGAAAAUGACAAAAGUCACGGAAUACACCACAAUCACGACAACGUGGGGCCCAACCAUUUUUGGACGUGUCAAUUUGUGAGUGAAUGGUAACAGUGACAGCACCUGCGCAAGUGGUAAUAAUCUUCAAAUGCGGCAGCUGUUUUAAAUUCCUCGUGAAUUUACAUAACUGCCCCUCCGACGUUGAACUCUUUUUUUCCUUGGUUCUUUAUUAUUUUUUAUUUUUUAAUUAAAAAUAUAAUUUUUUGUGUUUAUUGAUUU
rnacentral:lncRNA from 1 species